CCCUUAGAUGUUCUGGGCCGCACGCGUGCUACACUGAGUGGAUCAGCGGGUCAGGUUGCGCGAAAGUGUUUCCUAAUCUUGAAAUCCGCUCGUGAUGGGGAUUGACGGUUGCAAUUUUCCGUCAUGAACGAGGAAUACCUUGUAAGCGCGGGUCAUCAUCCCGCGCUGAAUACGUCCCUGCCCUUUGUACACACCGCCCGUCGCCCCUACCGAUUGAGUGGUCCGGUGAGGCUUUGGGAUCUGAGCAAAGAGAGCGUUUCGCUCGUUUUGCCCGGAAAACUCAGUCGAACCUUAUCAUUUAGAGGAAGGAGAAGUCGUAACA
rnacentral:rRNA from 1 species